UCGACCUUUAGGCUCCACCACGCCGUUCCUUAGUCCCUGCGCUUGUUUCAUUGCGGAAGCGGGUAUCGACUAUCCCAUCACAACUUAGAUCAACGCAACCAAAAUACUAACCAAACACUUUUAUUCAUUUAUGUUUUUAGACGACUCCUGUCGGUACAUAUAGGCCAAAAAGUUCCUAUUUUUGGCUAGACCAAAAUUUGUCCGACCAUCCUGUAGUCUAUUUACACAGUUGUUUUCACAUCACGUCUUGGUUGUCCAAAAAUGAUACCAUCCUCCCUCGGGUCCUCCUCCUACUCGACCCCACUCGAACCGUCGACAUAACAUCCGAGAAGUCAAGGUCCACUUGCUCCUCCUGAUCCCAGGUGAGGUUUAUGGAGUGCCAUAAAGCAUGGUGGAAGACGCGGGUUGGAGUAGCAUGACUAUGUCUCUGAAAUAUGAUAUUCCCACAAGGGGUGAGUAUGAUUACUUAGCAUAUGGAAGCCUGUCAGACCAUAUUACACAAGUCUACCGCUACUCAAUCGAUGUCAUUCUAAACAUGCAAUAUAGAAAGAUCCGGGCUAGGGCCUGCUAGAAUUCUUGGGCUGAGCUUGAUCCGGGCUUCAAGACUGGGCUGAAGAAGAAGGCCCAAAGAAGCUGUUGGUUCUGUGGAUCACGUGGGCUGAAGGAGAGCCCAACCGUGGGCUGACUCGCUGGGAUCCACGGUUGCUGAAGAAGCCCACGUGAUGAUGGCCCGAUGAAGUGAAGUCACGCAGGAGAGGAAACGGGCGGCGGAAAUCGUGUGGCUUCGCUGGUCUUCGAGCUGGGGAAUUCGGUAGCCUUCAGCUGGCGUCGAGCAAGGCUUCAACGGAGUGGAGUGUUGAUCGAAGGAGAGAGGCAACGCGGACGAAGCGAGCAGCUUGCUGGGUCUUCGAGAUUUGCUGGAAUCAACGGCAUUGAAGACGGGCAAUUGACCGAGCAAAAGGCACAAGCUGAUGAAGACGCGGGCGAAGAAUGGAGCUGCUUCGGGCUUCGCUCGGUUGAAGACACGUGCAUGGAGGAGCUUCGCUCCGUGGGUUUGCUGGGUCAACAAAUCGGCGAGGAUGCUUCACUGGUUGACCGAACGUGUAGCAAUUGCUGGACAGGGGAAGAAGCAGAAAUUUCGAUGGUGUUGCAGCAUUUAUGGGGCAGAGAAAUGGAGAGCAUUCGGUGGACGUCUUCUAGACAGUGGGCUUGGGUCAAUGAAAGGCUUCGUCGGUUGACAACCGAAGACACAUGGACGAGGAUGGUAGCGAGAGAGAGAGAGACGGAGGGUCGGUGGAUGGGCAGCUUCAAAUGAAGAACAACAAAAAGGAAAAAUGAAAGGAAACAAAACCAGAAGCAGAGAAGAGAGAGAUGUUCGGUUUAAGGGGGGAGGGGGGGGGGGGGUGGUCGAAAGGAAAAGAGAGAGGACCGGUGGUAAGAGAGAGAGUGAGGGAGAGGAUAGAGAUGAGGGAGAGAUGGAGGUCCCUUGGCCUUAUUUUUCCAAACUUGAUCCCCAAAGUUCAUUCUAGGCCAAGCAUAUAUCCUUGGCUCACAUUGAACCACACUUGCACUCUUCACAGCCUCUUGAAAUAGUCCAAAGACCAUAAGAAACGAGGCAUUACCGUGUCGACUUUCUUAGAAUUUAUUAUUGAUAAGUUUUUCUUGUCCCAAGCUAGAGACAUCGGUCAUCAUCGACUGUCUUUUCUAUAACGACCCCUCACCAACUGCGAAGAGGGCCGACAAGCAGCACGUGAUCUUAUACGGCAUAGGGACAAUGGUGAGAGGGUUGCUAAGUCUUGCUAUAACGAUCCUCACCAACUGCAGAGAGGGCUAACAAUCCCCCUCACCUAAGUUUUCCUUUCUUUUUCCCUUCUUUUUUUUGUGUUUUUUUUUUUUUAAAGUUUGCUUAAUUUUUUUUUUUGGGAUAAUUUUCACGGUUGAUUGGUGGUCCAUUGUCAAUCUACCUAUCGGUCUUAUUCAAGAUAUUUCAUGAUGCUUACAUUAUUAUUCAAGAUAAUAAUAAAUCCUCAUGAAUGAUACUAAUAAGAAUGUCUCGCGACUUAACUUUUCUGUUUAAGCAUUGAGCUCAAUCUCUUGGGAAAAUGACCAAUUUGUUCCUUGUCUGGUUCCACCAAACACCACCGAUCGAACAAAACUUCUGCAUCCAUUGAUAAUUAGAGGUUCUGAGAUCACAACGAAAGAUUUAUUACGCACGAUCCGGUGACUUUUAAAUGUAUCUCACCUAAUUGAUUAAUUAAAUAAAAAAAAUAAAGCAUACAAUACCAACCAUCAAAACAACAUAGUCAAUCACGUGGAAGAUUUUCUUUCGACGAGCCUUUACAUUAAAUUUAGUCAAUAAUUAUGCAUGGAACGUCAGUGCCUCAAGAGAAAAAACGAAGUUCCAUGCAAAUUUAGUCAAUAAUUAUGCAUGGAACGUCAGUGCCUCAAGAGAAAAAACGAAGUUCCAGCUUGCCCACCUCGCAUCUAUAAAAGGCAAGGCAAUGGGCUGCAAAAGUUCACAGCCGAACAAAGUUGUGGUAUCUCAACUUCACUUUGAACUUCAAUCUAUCCGCAAUACAAAAAGGGGUUACAUUGAAGCUCCAAAGUUUCGAACGCAGGUCUGAGAUAGAUGGGUGCCGUCGAGAUGAUCCGUGAGAACCAGCGGGCCAAGGGGCCGGCGACCAUCCUCGCUAUUGGGACGGCGAAUCCGGCUAACUGUGUGUACCAGGCCGAGUACCCACACUACUACUUCCGCAUGACGAAGAGCGAGCACAUGACGGCCCUCAAGCAGAAGUUCAUCCGCAUAUGUGAGCCACACUCUAGAUUGCCCUAGCUACAAAAUAUAUAUUCAAGUUUAGAGUAUCCUUAUCCUAGCUUCACAGUUUAUUUUUUCUCUUGAAAUAUAUAUUAUGUGUUUUGCUUAUUACACCCUUUAAGAAAGUCUAACUAUCUUUCUUUUUGGAUCUUAUUGGUGGGACAAAUUGCAUUGCUAUAGUUUGCUUCGUUUCGUAAUGAAUUUGCAAUCAUUCUUAACAAUCUUAGAAUGGUCGAAAGAAAAGGUUAUCGAGUAGUACAUGUUAAGAUAGCCAUGGCAAUUCUUUAUUACUAUAUGCCAAAAAAAAAAUAUGAACAAAGAAAAUCUCCAAUGCACGCAUGUCAACGUUGUUCUUAGAAAGUAAAAUGGGAACGUCGCAGGUGACAAGUCAAUGAUCCACAAGCGUUACAUGCACUUGACCGAGGAGCUCAUGGAGAAACACCCCGAGAUCUGCUCGUACGACGACCCUUCGCUCAACCCACGCCAGGACAUAAUCAUCGACACCAUCCCAAAGCUCGGUGAGGAGGCGGCGUUGAAGGCCAUCAAGGAAUGGGGCCAGCCCAAGUCCAAGAUCACCCACAUAGUCUUCUGCUCGACCUCUGGCGUCGACAUGCCUGGCGCCGACUACCAGCUCAUGCGCCUUCUCGGCCUCAGCCCCUCCGUCAAGCGGGUCAUGCUCUACCACCAGGGCUGCUUUGCUGGUGGCACCGUCCUCCGUGUUGCGAAGGACCUUGCCGAGAACAAUGCCGGCGCUCGCGUCCUCGUCGUCUGCUCUGAGAUCACUGUCACCACCUUCCGAGGCCCGUCUGCUGAGAACCUUGCCAACCUUGUCGGCCAGGCCAUAUUUGGGGACGGAGCGGCUGCGCUCAUCAUAGGGUCCGAUCCAGAGAUCCCUGCUGAGCGGCCCAUAUUCCAACUCGUGUGGACGGCGGAGACCGUUUUGCCAAACUCCGAGGGCGCCAUCGAGGGUCAACUGCGCGACGUUGGCCUCACCUUCGGGUUAUCCGACAGGGUCCCCCAUUUGAUCGCAGACCACAUCGAGAAGAGCUUGAAAGAGGCGUUCGAUUCGCUCGGCAUAAGUGACUGGAACUCCAUCUUUUGGGUGCCUCAUCCGGGUGGCCCGGCCAUACUCAAUCAAAUCGAGGCCAAGCUGGGAUUGAAAAAGGAGAGGCUCCGAGCCGUGAGGCACGUCCUCAGAGAGUACGGGAACAUGUCGAGCGCGUGCGUCUCGUUCAUCCUCGAUGAGAUGCGAAGGAAGUCGGCGGAGGAAGGGCUUGCUACCCCCGGCGAGGGGUUGGAGUGGGGCGUCCUCUUCGGUUUUGGGCCAGGCCUCACGGUGGAGACGGUGGUUCUUCACAGCGUGCCAACAGUGACCCAUGGGUGAAAGUAAUUAAUAAUACAUAUGAUAUAAUUCCAUAUAUCGAUAUUGUUGUAAUGUUAUUUCCUGCUAUAUAAUAGUAGGAAGAAGUUUAGAGUGAUUGAUAUCUAAAUAAUCGUCUGUGGCAUUUCUUCUCCAGUAAUAUUGUAAUGAUUGUGUGCUUUCUUAAUAAGGCUGAGCAUUAAUCAGCCCGUUGUGAAACUUUGUCAAUUAGAUAUGCUUAUCCUUCUUUUAAUUUUUUUCUUUCCCACUUAUGGACUUGUGUGUUGGAGUUUUAAGGAUAUAAACGAUCAACGGAAAAGAAAAUCGAUCCAAGAGAUAGUUGACAUUGACAAGGCUUCGCAGGCAAAUUGCUGCACAGAUAAGCGUGUGAUUUGACCUACACUCGCAGGAAGAACAAAAUAAAUUUCAACAUUUAUCAAGUGAUAUAAUGAAUAUUAUAAUCAUAUUUUGAUCACUCAAAUACUUUUAAUAUUGAUCAAACACCCCAAUUAUAAGUAGCCAUUUCUUACGAAAAAGUAUUUGAAUCUUAUUGAGAAAUACACCAAAUUUCAUCAUAAGAUUUCACGGCUUUUAACACUCUUUUAUUUACUCUAGGAUGUAAUGCCGAACACAAGUUGGCUUCAUAAUUUCAUAUCACGGUCAAGGCCUGAAAGACAAGAUAUGAUGUGUGUAUGUAUAACCUAAAAAUGAAAGUGCCUGACUUCAACUAAAAAACGAAUUUACUUUUCCCAUAGUGAAUUGGGAAAAGUCCAAACUUCGAACUUUCUUUUAAACAGCAUGCUCCCAUUUGGGCGGCACUUCUUUAUGCAUUAAUUCGGAUCGAGUUUUGUACACAUGCUCAAAUUCAAGACAUAGUUUUAAUAAAUCUUAAUGUUGAAAGGGUGUUUGAACUUACUUAUAAUCAUUUUGCUGAACCUGUAAUAUAUGUUGUUACUCUUCCAUAGUCCUAUAAAUCUCGACAGAAUUCCAUGAGCAGCUUCAUCUACCAUUGAUACAAGGGAAAAUUAACCAAAAUCAUAAACCUAUUGCAAUUUUUCCAAUUCAGUCAUAAAUUUUAUUUUAUUUUUGCCAAUUUAGUACUAAACCUUUUAUAAUCGUGCCAAUUCAGUCCAUCCGGCCAUAUUUGGCUAGCUGGCAUUAACAUGAACAUCGGUUGAUACCGGCGGACAAUUUUUUAAUAAUAUUGUAUUUAAAAAAAAAUCUCUCUUUUUUUCUUUUUCUCCUCUCUCCUUUUUCCCUUGCUUUGGCAAAUAGCUAGAGGGGAGGGCCGGUCACUAGCUAGUGUCGAGCUCGCCCCCCCCAGCAACGGUGAGGCAGCUCCUCGAUCCACUAGCUAGGCAAGGCCUACCUCGUUAGAUUUGGGUGAGGUUGGCCUCGCCGUCCAUUGGCGAGGCGAGCCCUUGCCAGAUUCGAUGGGUGCUCGCCUCGCUAGUGGUUUUAAGUGAGCUUGCCCUCACCCAAUGACAGUGAGGUGAGCUCAUCACUGGCUAGCGAUUGGCCCUCCCCUCGUGCUUGUCAAUGAAGUAAGAGGAAGAAGGGAGGAGGAAAAAAAAAAGAGCGAGAGAGAAAAAGAAAAAGAAAAAGAAAAGAAAAAAGAGAAAUUCGAUAAAAUAAAAUAUUAUUAAAAAAUUGUCCACCGGCGCCAAUUAGCCAAAUUCGGUGAGAUAGAUUGAAUUAACAUAAUUACACAUGGUAACAAUAAUUUUAGGAUCAAAUUGGCCAAAAACAAGGUUUAGAUUGAAUUGGAAAUGUUGUAACAAGUUUAGGACUUUUUUGGCAAUUUCCCAUUGAUAUAGUGGUGAACGAAAGGGUGGAUGGUAGCAACUAUCAAUUCGUACAUGUGAUGGUAUGAUGGAAAUAAUCAUGUCUUAAUAGAACAUAUGCAGUUGCUACCAAUAAAAAGGUGAGACUAUGUCUAUUUGGGAAAUUGUCCAAAAAAUUCUCAAUCUACUAUAUGGUGGCCAAUUCAGUCAUGCACUUUUCAAUUUUGCCAAUUUAAACUUAAACCUUUUGGCAAUUGUUUUUUUUUUUUUUUUUGGGUCAAAGGUAAGAGAUAUAUUGACUUUAAACCAAAAAGAGCUAUAUAUAGUUAUACAGCAAAAACUCGGUCCCAAAAACUUGCACUCAUGCAGAUAACAAGUCAAAGCGAGUGAAAGGGGGCCAAGGUAAAAGAAAUCAAGCCAAGGGCAAGGGAAGGAAAAAGGCCAAACAACGGCACAAAACCAGCAAGCCUAAACCAACACAAACAACAAAGAGAAAGCACUACCAAAAGAAGAAACCAAGCACAGCUUUAAGGUUGGUAAAGGGCCGUCUCAGAAGCCAGAAGAAGGGCGAAAUCCAGAAGAACCUCCGAGCAGGCAAGAGAAAGGAAGAAAGCCAACUAGAAAAAACCAGUCGACUAACAAGGUGAUCAGCUCGCCAAAAUGGAGGGGUUGAGCGACCAACUUUGCAAUAAUCUCCUAUUAGCCGCAGUGGGAGGGACUUGAUGGAAAGCAAGGCUUUGUCCUUUAUAACCUAUUCAAGGCGCCUUUUCAUGGCCAAAAAGGAGGGAGGUCUACCUUGGAACAGUAUAUUGUUACGCUCCUUCCAAGUGAUGUUGCAUAAAGCAGCAAAUGCAAAGCGAGCAAGAGAAGAGCGGAAGGAGGGUCUUGAGAGAGUUUUGAUAGCCCAAAGCAGGUUUUCCUUCCAAGAUUUAUUCCGCCAAGCAUAAUUAAAUCUUGCGGCCCAAAAAGUAGUUAAGGCAGUAGGAAUGGGGCAUCCAAAAAACAAGUAAUCAAUUGAAUAUGGCCGACAAUAGCAGAAGGCACAGUUCACAUCCGGUAUUCUACCAUAGGUAAGGAGUAGUACUUGAGUCGGUAGUCUAUUUUUUGUAAUCAACCACAGCAGGAAUUGGUUGUGGGGAACCAAUGAAUUGUUCCAAAUGAAGGGCACCCACUGUACCAGAUGGCUGGUCGGCCGAAGAGUGUCCCAAGCAGACGCAGCAGAGAAAGUGUCAUCCGAGCUGCCUAGCCAAAGAAAGCGAUCAUCUUCAUCAUUGAGUUCAGGUAGGGGAACAUCCCAGGAGGCAACCACAUGCAGAACACCCAAAGAUGGGUUAGGACAGGAGAAAACCUUUUGACAAUUUGUUAAUCUAGUCUUUAUAGCCACUUUUGAUGAAAAAUCGAUGAAGUGACGAUCUAGUUAAUGACAACCAUCCUACGUGGCACAAUUAGUCCUCACAUGGACAAUUCUUGCAAUUUCUUUAAAUUUUCUGAAUUUUUUUCCUAUUUUCCUUCACUUGUCGUUGAGACCUAGGUGAUGCGACAUGACGCGGCAUGAGCAAGGUGAGGGCAAGGGCGAGGCGACAUGACACAAGGCAAGGUGAAGGCUAGGGCAGGGCAAAGGCAUGACGCCCUUGCUCAGAUGUGGUGAGGGCUGUUACAUGAAUAUAAAAGAUAACUAAUAAGAAAAAAUUCAAUAGCAAAAUGCACUACAAAGUAAAAGUUUGUAAAUAUUUGACUAUGUUAACAAGUAAUUUAAGUUCAAAGUUUUCUCGAUUCUAUUUGAUAAUUAAUUCAAAAAUUUGCUCAAUAAGGUAAUGAAGAAUUAAGUUUCUCGGAGGUUCUCUCUUGAACAAAGCAAACAUGAAGGAGGUGAAAUCUAAAAAAAAGGAAAACAUGAUGUUUAUACUAUUCGUGGUAAUAUCCAAUUACAAAUAUAUUUAACAUGUGAUAUUCUCGACUAUGGCAAUAAGAUCGCACAUAAAAUUUCGAACUAAAAGAAAAGAAGAAGAAGAAGAAUGAAUGAGUUCGGGAUUAACCACUUUAAAUUUCAAUUGGAUGAUUAGAGAUAAACUAAAGCUCCAGCUAUCUUGAAACUGGUCACUGUUUAGACAUAUCACACUAUACUUAUGAUCGGACAAUUUCACGUUACACAAUUAUUCAUCCAUGUCACCGCAUAUACUUGCAUACACAAAUACAUCGUUUAUGAAACUAAGUUCAUCGAAUUAAUUUUAAACAUAUAUGGAAGCAAAAGGACAAUAGGACGAAAGUCCUUCUAGGUAAAUUCCUACUAUUAUAUCAAUUUUAAGAAAACAAUACUGAUAUAUAAACGUCUUAAAGUCACACCUCCAUGGGAAUAGCACAGAGAGGCGUUGCCUUUUGCAAUGUGAUCCCAAAUUUCUCAGUCAUGUCCAUCUCUUCAGGCGUCACGCCCUCCUCAAGCUUCCAAUCAAAUGAGCGCAAGAGAGAGGCCAAAAUCAAGUGCACCAUCCUAUAGGCCAAGGGCAUCCCGGGGCAUAUCCUCCGUCCGCUCCCGAACGGGAUGAGCUCGAAAUCGCGGCCCUUGAAGUCAAUCUCACCCCCCAGGAACCGCUCCGGCAUGAAGCUGUCUGGGUUUGACCAUACGCCCGGGUCACGCCCCAUGGCCCAGACGUUGACCAGCACCUGGGCGUGCCGGGGCAGUCGGAACCCGCCUAUCUCCACGUCGCUCUCGGCCUUGUGUGGGAUCAGGAAGGGAACCGGCGGGUGCAGCCUUAGAGUCUCCUUGACUAUUGCUUGUAAGUAGGGGAGCCUCGUGAUGUCUGGCUCUUGCAGCGUUCCUCCAUCGCCACUCACGACUCGGUCGAGCUCUUCACGGGCUCGAGCGAUCUUCUCUGGAUUGUGCAGCAGCUCUGCCAUCGCCCACUCCAGCGAGCUCGUGCUUGUGUCGACUCCCGCGAUGAACAAGUCCUGGAACAGGAAACGUGAGAGAUAGCCAAGUGAUUUUUGCUAAAUACAUCUUCAUUUCUGGAGCAAAUUGAAGUUAAUUGCCCAAAGUUGGUCAGUAACAAAUUUGACAACAAUAAAAUAUGGAUAACAUUACUUGCCAGCAACGUGAAAUCGCAAUUCCAUAUCAAAAGAAGUCAUUAGACUAGUCUAAAUACAGAGCUUCCUCUUCAUAGUUCAAAAUAUAUCUAACAAUCAUAAAUACAGAGGACAGAAACUAUUGAAUAGGAGCAUUUAUAGUUCAGAUCAAUUCGCAUAUCCCUCAAAAGGUACCGACCAGAAGCAAGCUCUUAAUUUCGUGGCGACUCAAUUCACCACUCUCCUUUAAAUUAAUCAGAGAAUCAAGCACGUCGUUGCUCAGUGAAGAGGCGACCGAUGAGGCGGUCGCUUGAGUCCUUUCUUCAAUCAUCCUGUCGAAGAUGGCAAGCAAUCUGCUGAAGUAACCCGAGAUCCUCUGGCGUGCGCCCUGGGGGUCGAACCACCUGAGAGCUGGGAAGAAAUCUGACACGUUGGGCUUUCCAGUCUCCUCCAUCACGCCCCACACGAGGUCCCUGAACUCCUGGGAGGAGCCCUCGUCAUGGUGUGCCAAGUCGACAGAAAAGAGCGUGCUCGAGAUCAAGUUGAGCACCGUCGUGAAGGCGGUGUCGCGACCUACCCUCGGGGGGAGGGAGCAGGUUUAGGGGUAUUGCCUAAAGGACGGGCCUAAGGCCCAUGAUUAGGCGUGGGCUCUCCCAAGCCCAUACCCCGCGUGACAUUGGGAUAUUCUUAAGAAAUUUUGCACAAAAGGAGUCGCCACUAGCCUAUUGGGGUCGGCUAGAAACCAAGUGAGACAUGGGAGCGUGCCUCACUUCCUACGCAACCAGAGAGUCUAGGAUCGGGGACUUGAUUACACUAAUUGACUAAUUAGUGCCCUUUCGGUACCUAAUCUUGUUCAUUUUAACAAAAUGAUUUUCAUCAGGCAGUUUAGAUUGAUUUCAUACCUAUCCACUAACAUAGGAGGUGAGCAUGCAAGUGCACAAUCAAUAAAGUAAUAAUUAUACCUACCAAGCUCCUAUUUGCCCUAAAAUUAAACACGUGCAAAUUAAACAUAAAACACGCAAAUUAAACAUCUGAUAAAAACAACAUAUAAGAAAAUAAAGGCUUAAUCACACUAAAGCGGCAAUACACAGCAAUUCCUAACCAAACCCUAUCAUUUUUGGAUUUUCGAAAUUUUUAAUUUAAUUUAAUUUUUAUUUUAUUUUUUUUAAAUACUUUUAACUAAAAUUAAAAAAAGCGAAAUUUUUAAUGUUUUCUGAGUUUUUUGAAAUUCCAGAAAAAAAAUUUGAAUUUUUAUCAUUUUUUUUUAAAUUUUUGAUUUUUUGAUUUUUUUUUCGAUUUUUUUUUAUUUUUUAUAUUAUAUUAUAUUUUUUUAAUUUUUAAUAUAUAUUUAAUACUUCAAUAAAAUGGGUUCGGACCGGGUUCCGGCCCAUGGGCCCAACCCAAACCCGGAUCCAACAUUUUUGGGUUAAAAAAAGACAUUUUUUUAAAAUUUUUUCUUUUACAGCCCCUUUUUUUAAAGAUUCUUUUUGUUAUUAUUUUUUUAAAUCUUUUCCCCGCUUCAUCCUUUCCUCCGCAUGUUCUGCCCAAUGGUCCUUCCCGAGGCUAGCUUUACCGUUUUAGUUUUCUAUUUUAUUUAUUUAUUUUGCUUUUCUUUUUUUCUUGGUUUUUCUUUUCUCUUUCUUUUAUUUCUUUCCCUCCUCCCUUCUGACAUUUUCACCGAACAGCCCCAUCUCCUAUCUUUUCUUCUUUUUGGGUUUUCCUCUUCUUCUCAUUUUUUUUGUCAUUUUCUGGCUUUUCUUUGUUCUUUAUUUCUUUUGUUUUUUAUUCUUUACGCCCCUCUUCUUCUUCGAUGGUUUCCCCCAUGCCCGAAGCUAAUCUUCAUCAAGGCAAGCCCACACACUAGCUCCGGUCGGAAUAAUGGGCGCCACCCGUCGCCAACGACCACCGCCUAACGGUCGCCCACUUCGACCGGCGUCACCCGCCGUCGGCCAUCUUCUCCGGCAACCAAGUGACACCCGACGCGAGGGAAAACACUUGCCGAUGAUACAACGCCGCUUCACGAAAAUGACACCAAAGCAUAGCAACACACAAGACUUAAACAUUGAAGAACCGUUACAAAAGUAAAGACAGGUUGAUCACUGGUUUAAAAAAAUGUACUAGCCUUCGGCCUUCUUUGAAACAUUUAGUCGAACAUAUAGGAUGCACCAGUUAACAAAAGGAACCUAGUCUCACUUGGGACAUAGAUUUGGGGCAGACAUCAACACUACAUGCACAAGCCAUGCUAAUUUCUAAAAAUCCGCUCAUGGACCAGUUAAUCAAGUCAGAACAGACAUAAACGAAGAACAACCAUCUCCAGGCUUCAAAAAAAAAAAAACUUGCAGAACUUAGAUAUAAUUUAGGCAUUUUCACAAGCACUUGGUGUGCGCGAUUGGCACGGGGGAUUUUCCACUUGAUAGAGACAUGAGACAAAUCUAAACUGCUACCACGUACUAGAACAGCUAGAAGCUUACCGAGAGGACCGGCUCGGACCGAAACUUGCGCGAACUAGUCAGCACGAGUUCCGGUCCGACGCCUCCCAAGAAACAAAAGACACACGCUCAAAACAAAGCCUACCUGGUUCGAGAGGAGGGCUGCGGCGAUGAACGGACCUCCAGCGACGACCAAACACUCUCCCAAGCUUGCUCUUCGGUGUUCUCUGCUCCCUCUCGACUUCGGGCAACGGCGAAACGCUCUCUCCCUGAUCGUCUCUCCCUCGCUCAAGCUCUCUCUUCGGUGUGACGCUCUCCCCCUAAUCGUCUCUCCCUCUCUUGAGCUCCUUGUUCUCUCUCCACCAACGAACUAGUCAAGACCCCCCUUUUUUUUUUCUCCCCCCUUCCGGUUUUAUACUCGGCCGGCAAGCGCGCAUGGCCUCUGCGGCUGCCAGCUUGCCGGCCGAAUGCCUCCUUCAACCCGCCUCUGCGGCUGCCAGCUUGCCGGCCGAAUGCCUCCUUCAACCCGCGGAUCACGCCGCUCACCUGCCACCCCGAUCCCCUUGCUCCCUCUGUUGCUCUGUUUGUACCCUCCUCUUUUCUCUUUUUUGCAGAAGCAUGGAUGUCGUGAGGGGAGGAAGAUGAUGUGCGCAUGGGCCGGGUUGAAAUAAAAGGAGAUGGGCCAGCCCAAGUGCGAAAAAAAGAAAAGGAAAAGAGACAUGUGGGCGAGCCCAUGCGCGAAGAAAGACCCAUUACUCGGCCUCAUUCGAUUUUCUUAUACCUUUUAAUGAUUUUUUUGACAAUUUUGGAAAAAUAAAGACCAUUCAACAUGCCGUGCAAUAAUGAAAACAUGAUACCUUAAAGAUUUUUUUUUCUUUUUUUUAUUUAAAAUUUUUUUGUAAUAAAAUUUUUUGAAAUUUUAAAACAUAGUGACGUAAAUGUUCCUAAUGUCAAUAUGUGAUGCAAUUUUAACGAAAAUUUUUUUUUGUUAAGGGGUUAGAAAUCAACCCCCAAUUUUUCAAUGCAAUUAAGAAACACUUAAACAAAUCGCCAAAAUUUAGGUGUCAACAGGCGGCCUUCCCGAUGUCAACAGAACGGCCUUGCCGACAGCUCUGGUGGAUGAAGCUGACGAGCUCGUCCACCUUCUUGCGGUGGAGGAGCUGGCCUGCGUCCAACUUGUGUGCCGAGAACAUCUGGACGGUGCACACCUUCCUGAGCUGCUUCCACUUAUCGGAGGCGGGCAGCCACACAACGGACUCAGCAUAGUGACCACUCGCCUUGACGGUGUCAGGGAUCUGCCGGCCGCUCAAGAGCUGGUCGUUCUUUUGGAGGGCUUCCUUGGCAGCCUCCGGAGAGGAGAUGACUAUGGUUGUGAUUGCCCCUAGCUUUAUGGUCAUAACAGGGCCAUAUAGCUUGGAGAGCUUGGCGAGCGCCUGGUGGGGCUUGUCACUGAGCUCGAGGAUGUUCCCAACGAUUGGGAGUGGGCGUGGGCCCGGCGGCAGCUGGUUGCCGCCGGAGCCUGCCUUACGGAUUAACCGUCGCCAGAGCAGAUUGAUGCUCCACCACAGCAGGCAUAGCAACAGAAGGCAAGCUGCAUAGCACUCCAUUUGGUGUUUUGGCAAAGCUGAUUUGUUUGCUUAAUUAAUUUGGGAGGAUAUGAUAUUUAUACUUUGGACAAAUGUUGGGUUAGCCAAAAGUGAUGGUUAUUAAUUGUAUGGCUGAGCUUUCUUGCAUAGAAUAGGGUUCACACAAGGAUUCAAACCGGUUCCUCAAAACAAGAUCCAGGGAAAAAGAAAGUGACUAAUAUUUAUUUGACUCUUGUUAACAAUAAUUUUCCGAGAUUUGUUAAAUGUACUUGAUAAGUGAUCAUCCAAAUUAUACAUUACAAGAGAAAAGUACUGUCUUGAAAUUAUUAACUUUCUUCAUUUGAUCGUUUAGCAGGUUCUUGCCAUCUGCUAAUACAAUUCUAUUCAUUUAAUAAAGAUAGUGUGACAUGGAAAUUUCUAAAAGAAUUUCGAUUUAUGCAAUGUAGCCUUUAGACUUUUCUGGCCUGUGAAUAAUUAGACUAUGUAUUGGUUUGUUCAUCUUAGUCCUUUCAACAAACACGUAAAAUAGAAUAUACAAAUGGCUAUCCAUGUAGCACCACAUCAGCAUUCUCCGGUAAAAAUUUGACGUGGCUAAAAACAUUGAAAAAAAUUGCAGAACUGAAAACUAGAGCUUUAAUCUACAUUAUUACAUCCAAACUUUACCGAACUCUCUAUUCUAGGCUUCCUCCUGAUAUUUAGCUUCACUCUAGCUUUUCUCUUAUGGUCCUUCCAAGUAUAUUUCGAAGCUUUACCUCACUAUUCACCUAUCCAUGAUAUGUCUAAGCUUUACCAAACUCUCCAUUCUAAACUUGUUCACCUUAUAUUCAAGUACCUCCAACUUGUAGAUACCUCUGCACCUAAUGCUUUGUUCCCCAUCGAUAGAAUAGUGUAUUUCUCAUCUUUAGACGAUUCUCUUAGGACAUUAUUUACAUAAAGGCUCGUACAUCUUUCACCUAGUUACUCAACUAUUAAAACCAUUGGUAGUUUUUGACUAUUUUUUUCAUUUUCAAAACAUCAUAAGAGAUUUUCCUAAAAGCUUUUAUGGUUGGAGGUGAGGCAAGAUGUGGUGAGACUGCACAUAAUAUUGUGUGUGAGAGAGAGAGAGUGUGUUCACCUUUUGCCAUUUUUGUGCAAUUCCGCUAAAGGAAUAAUUAUUUAAUAGACUUGGUAGAUACGCCAAAAAGAAUCUAGAAUGUAAUAUUUGAUGGGACUCAUCAUAUUUAAUGUUAGUGCAAUACUCGUUCUUUUAGGUAAGGUAAAUGGACAUACGUGCAUUUUAAAAAACAAAAGAUAUUCCAUCUCCUGUAAGUUUACUAGAACUUACGGAAUAUACUAGUACUUUGGAGGUGAGUCGAAUUAUAUACGUGCAAAACAUAUGCCUCAUUAUAAUCAGGUAGAAGUUCAUCAAUAUAAACUUAUUUAAUUAUCCUUUUUUAGUCAAUUCUUGAUGUUGCCUGCGAAAAAUCAUUUAUAUACCCAAAAUACGGUUGUUUUAUAUCAUAUUCACAUAAAUAAGUAUAAUAGUGUUGUGAUUUCUCAUUAGAUAACACGAAUUGGUAAUAAAAUUCAAUUACUACGCAAGAUUUUUAUAUAAGCUCUUGUAAUUCAAAUUGUUCUUUUAUAACGAUGAUGCCUUUUUUUUUACGUAUAACGUAGUUGAUAUAAAAUCUCGAUAACAUCAUUUUAUGGUUCUAUUAUAAUAAUGUUAAAUUUUUUAAUGUACUUUUAAUGAAAAUGACUACUUAUACGUGUUUGUAUCUCGAACUGAAUGAUUUUCCUACCGUAUAUUACUAUUAGAGGCGACACUAUGACAACGCCAAGUGUUUUUACAAUUUAGCAUGUAUCCUCAGUUAAUUAGAAACUUAGAAGUCCAAGUGAUGACUAAGACUUCAAUCUGAUGCAGAAAAAGGGACUUGUCAACCACAAUAGACUAAAUAAUGGAUAGCAAGAAAGAAGUAGCUUCACGAACUCCGUUACCAUGGAAAUUGAAAGUGAUAUAUGUAAGAAGAAUUGCUUAAUGGAGGAGUUAAUGAAGAGGAAGGAAACUAAAGUGGGUGGGAAAUGUUUGGAAAUGGCAAGGAGAUCUUCCAUGUUGAGAGUAUCCAUUGGUGGUCAUGAGGUCGUGCAUGUAGUUUUCAGUCACUAUCCUUAACCUACCUAAAUUGAAGAGUUGAUUGCACCCACCUAAUUAUCGAUCUCCAUUUCAUCUUUUUUUAUGAGAGCACGUAACGAGAUCACAGCUUCAUCAAUUUAAUUUAUAGUUCAAUUUCACCAAAAAUUGAUAAUUUACAAGUAAAAUCAGCUUGUUAAAAUAUUUAAAUGUUAAAGCACAUUUUCAUCUAACGACUUAAGUUUUCACAGCAAUUUAGCAGUGAUGCACAAGAAUUUGCAUGUGUCAGAGUAUAAGGUUUGAGUUCAAAUAUUUAUCCUCUUAUUUGCCUAUCUUGAGUUUUUCACAAGCUUUAGUCUUAAGCCAAAGUCUAGCCUACGCAAUUUCUAGAGUAGUUGGUAGCAGUCUCAUAAAAUUUUACAUAAUUGUUUGCCUAGAUCCUCAACCUUGAAAGAUUAAAAUAAAAAUUAAGUCUAAUAGUGAUCCUAAUUUAUAUUCCUUUUUCAUUUGGUAUUGCAAAUUUUUCUUAUGCAAUCUGCAAGUUUUGUAACCCUUUCAAUUUAUAAAAUUAAAAUUUCCUAUUAUCUAUCUAUCGAACUCAUCAUUAUUGGAGUUGGACAUGAAAAGAUCUGUUAUUAUUUCUAUAUUUUCUUAUUUUUGUGGGAUUCUAAAAAGAAGAAGUAAUUCCCCCAUUAUUUUUUGCCAUUAUUGUAGCAUUGAAGUAUUUGAGAUACCAAUCUCCUCCUUUAAAUUCUUGUUUCUUCAAUUUCACAAAAACUUUCUUCUCCCUCAUAAUUUGUUGCACAAUUCUAAGGUGCUCUUUAGGUUCCUCCUGACUAUAGACUUUUAGGGUUUGCAUGGCAAAAUUUCUAUUUGUUUAUUCUUUCUUUCUGAAAUAGAAAAAGAGCAAAAAUUUGUUUGGUAACGUCAGUUAAUUUUUCUAUUAUCCAGAAUAAAAAAGUAGUCAGAGAAUAGAUUUGAAACAGAAAUAAUAAAUAGAAAAAAGUAAUUUCCUACUCCCGGGAACAAUUUUUAGAAAUAAGUUAUUUUCUUUCUUUUCUUUUCUUCUUCUUCCUCACCAUCGGCGCCUAGCAACAGUAGCAACCAGCUAGAGGAGGAAGAAGAGAGGAAAAAAAGAAUAAAAAAUUUCAUAAAACUAAUAAAAAAUUAAAGGAAAUUCUACAUUACAAAAAAACUUGUGGAUCACACCAAAUGCAUUCCUAUUAUUUUUCUGUUCUAAGAAUAAAAAUUUUGUAUAGUUACUAAAUGUGUUGUGUUAUUCAAAAACUGUUCUAGGGAAUAGAAAUAUAAAAGAACUAUUUAUGAGAAUAAAAAUUAUUCUCAGGAACAAAAUUAUUAUCAAAUGCAUCCUUAAAAUUCAUGUGAAAUUGACGAAUUCUUAGAUUGUGAGAGAAUCAUAAGUAAUUGUAUUUUCACCUAGAAAGUGAAAAACCUUUUUACCAAAAAGAUUGAUUUUGAUUUGUUUUUAAGAGUAAAGGGGUUCUUUGCUAAUCUGGACGGAAAAAGUAAAUGGCUUGGGUAGUAGCGAAAGUCAAUUCCUUCCCUUAGAACCGUACUUGAGAGUUUCCUACCUCAUACGGCUCAUCGUUCGCAAGUGCUAGAAUUUAAAGUGCAAGGACAGUAAAUUUGCAAAACAUGAAAUGAAGAAAUAAAUUUGCAACUAAUUGAUUAUCGUGCAACAGAGAAUAAAGAAUUCAUGAUUUUUGUACAAAAUUUUUUGCACGCUUUUCGUACUUUAAAUCAUUAUUAAAAAAGAAGCUACAACUUCCAUCACGGGAUAUCCAACCAUCACUUCGUACUGGAAUCGAUACAUUCUCUGUCUUCCAUCUCUUAAAAGUUAGCAAGAUAUGUAGUAAUGGGUUGUCGAUGCAUUUGUUGACUGAUGAGGGCCAUAACUUCCAUCACAUCUAAUGUCGAUAUCUCUAUUGAUGAUCUAUGAUUAGUAUAAAUUAGAAGCCUGUACAUUGAUGGCAAUUAUGUCGACAAUAAAAGUUGAUCUUUUUUUUUCUGUUUUUUUUUAAAUGUCAACAACUUGAAAUUCAUUUAGCGAGAAUAUAUAUAACUUGAAAUUGGCAACCGAGAGCAACUAAACUGGGAAUUAAAUCAACUUGUCAUUUAUAGACACUCGCCCUCAUUUCUUUUUCUUUUUUUUUCUUUUAUUGAAAUUGAAACGAAAUUUGUACUCAAAAGUGAAUAUAUCUUCAAUAGAAUUAGUUUCUUCUCCUUAAACUAAGAUCUCUGAAACCCAGCUUCCUUUGAUGAACCUCUAUUCGGCUUUUGCUAAACCCACUUCAUCAUUUUCACCUAUUCACUCUAUUCGCCAACUCAUUCGUCAAACUCGAAAGGAGGUAAAGGAAUAUGUUCAGUCCUCCAAGUUUGACUAGCACCUCAUUACUGCUACUGAAAAUGAGUACUUCGUUACUCUCUAGAUCUCUCCAGAGUUUCCUAGGUAGUGGAGCCAACAAGGGUACACUCAUGUUCAUUAUGGAGUUGUUCGUCUUGCUCUUACUUUUCAUGACCAAAAAGGUUUGCCAAUUGUGGCAAGAAUUGCUUUACUGGAUACUAGGUUUUUAGAAUACUAGUAUGCUUGCAUUGGUACUGUUCAAACCACUUUAAAUGCCGGAACAGUCUUUGUAACACUGUACCCAAAUUUCAACAUCGCUCUCUCAGAUCCACAAUUACUUUCCUUUCUGAAAGUCCAAAUCUAGCUCAUUGGAACACCUCAGACUGCUGAUUCAGUCACAACAACUUUGCACUACCAGAUGGUUUACAGAGUGCAGAACCAUGCACUUGACUUAAAUUUCCACAAUGGAAAUGAAGAUGCCUUAUUCAUUUCCAUGCCAAAUGAUCAAGCAUCAUGCAUUUAUGUCUUUAGAUAGAUCCCAAAGGAAAAGUUGGCCACUCUCCUUUCAAAGACGUGGAUUACCAACUAUGAAAAGCUUCACCAAAACAACAAAUCUUUCUAGUCAUCAGAUUAUGAGUUUGUCAGAAAAAGAGAUGGAACUAUUUCCAUCAAAUUCAGCAAAGAAAAGGAAGAAAGUCCUUCUAUCUUCCAGACUCUCUUUAUGAUUGAACUAUAUGUUCUUGAGUCUAUUUCCGAGCCAGAUCCAAAAAAGCUUAUUCGACACUUUAACAGUGAUGGACAUCUUGUCCAUUACUAUAAAGACCAGUACGGUCAUUGUUUUUGGGAUCCUUUUUGCCAGUGUUCUUAUUGUACCCAUUCUCUUGAUGAGGUAGAUCCAUUUGCCAAAUCUCCGCCUUGGAGAAAAAAGCCAAAAAAACCCUGUGUACCAAAGAUACUUAAAUGGAGAUCCCUCUGUUAACACUCUUGGUGAAUGUAACAAAUUCCAAUUAAUGGUCUCUUAUGCACCAAAUCCAUCACCAGAGUUUACUGCUUCCUCUUCAGUACCACCAGAUCCACCAUAAUCAGCUCCAUCUCCUCCUCAGAAAAAAACCAACCAUCUCCCCAUUUUAUAAUCCAAUUGUAAAAUGGGCCAAGAAACAUUCAUAUCCACUUGAGGUUCCACCAGAGACACCACCAAGUUCUUGCAUUGCUAUGUUCCAAGAAACAUACUUUCCUCUUAUUGUUCGGGAAGGUUCUUGUGACACCCCAAACCCUUCGCAGGUCGUCACCAGCACCAAUGUUACACCUUACUACCUUUCUCCUUAGAAGAUGCGUCGUAAUUUAUAGACACAUUUUUUUUUUAAAAACAAAAUGGUCUCAGCGCGACUCAUUAGCGGAAGCAAAUUAAAACAUCACCAUCUCUCCCCCUACCAACCAUGAUACAAAUACACACCGCUAAUUUUCAGGAUUUUAUAGACAAGUCGCGACACUUUAUUUACAUAUAUAUUUUCAAGAUGGGACUUCUUUUGGGUCGAUACAUCAAAAAGGAAAAGCUAGGACUCAGCCAUGUCCAGCCUAAAACCUCAAAAAGAACCCUCGACCCUCUACAUUUCACGUGCAACAAUUCCUCAUCAUCAGUGUCGGCUAACUAUCCCCAAAAAGGAUCCAGCUCCUAUUCGUCGCGCACGGGUCUCACACCCAACCCGGUGCAUCAGGCGGUGGCGGCGGCAACAUCCCUCGCAUCGCUCCAUCCCAACGAACGUGGACAGAGACAAACUCCUGAACAAUAGGGCCCCCAGCCAGGCCUAUGUCGUACGAAACGAAACAACGCACACAAAUGUAGGUGAGUCCAGGUACAAAAGGACAACUAAACUCCUCACACUCUACCUCGACGUCGGACGGUAACCCAUAAAAUGCACCACGCGUGACGGCAGGAAGCGGCAUAUUGCUAAUCUGGAAUGUUGGNNNNNNNNNNNNNNNNNNNNNNNNNNNNNNNNNNNNNNNNNNNNNNNNNNNNNNNNNNNNNNNNNNNNNNNNNNNNNNNNNNNNNNNNNNNNNNNNNNNNNNNNNNNNNNNNNNNNNNNNNNNNNNNNNNNNNNNNNNNNNNNNNNNNNNNNNNNNNNNNNNNNNNNNNNNNNNNNNNNNNNNNNNNNNNNNNNNNNNNNNNNNNNNNNNNNNNNNNNNNNNNNNNNNNNNNNNNNNNNNNNNNNNNNNNNNNNNNNNNNNNNNNNNNNNNNNNNNNNNNNNNNNNNNNNNNNNNNNNNNNNNNNNNNNNNNNNNNNNNNNNNNNNNNNNNNNNNNNNNNNNNNNNNNNNNNNNNNNNNNNNNNNNNNNNNNNNNNNNNNNNNNNNNNNNNNNNNNNNNNNNNNNNNNNNNNNNNNNNNNNNNNNNNNNNNNNNNNNNNNNNNNNNNNNNNNNNNNNNNNNNNNNNNNNNNNNNNNNNNNNNNNNNNNNNNNNNNNNNNNNNNNNNNNNNNNNNNNNNNNNNNNNNNNNNNNNNNNNNNNNNNNNNNNNNNNNNNNNNNNNNNNNNNNNNNNNNNNNNNNNNNNNNNNNNNNNNNNNNNNNNNNNNNNNNNNNNNNNNNNNNNNNNNNNNNNNNNNNNNNNNNNNNNNNNNNNNNNNNNNNNNNNNNNNNNNNNNNNNNNNNNNNNNNNNNNNNNNNNNNNNNNNNNNNNNNNNNNNNNNNNNNNNNNNNNNNNNNNNNNNNNNNNNNNNNNNNNNNNNNNNNNNNNNNNNNNNNNNNNNNNNNNNNNNNNNNNNNNNNNNNNNNNNNNNNNNNNNNNNNNNNNNNNNNNNNNNNNNNNNNNNNNNNNNNNNNNNNNNNNNNNNNNNNNNNNNNNNNNNNNNNNNNNNNNNNNNNNNNNNNNNNNNNNNNNNNNNNNNNNNNNNNNNNNNNNNNNNNNNNNNNNNNNNNNNNNNNNNNNNNNNNNNNNNNNNNNNNNNNNNNNNNNNNNNNNNNNNNNNNNNNNNNNNNNNNNNNNNNNNNNNNNNNNNNNNNNNNNNNNNNNNNNNNNNNNNNNNNNNNNNNNNNNNNNNNNNNNNNNNNNNNNNNNNNNNNNNNNNNNNNNNNNNNNNNNNNNNNNNNNNNNNNNNNNNNNNNNNNNNNNNNNNNNNNNGCUUUCAUUUGAUCACCACAUCAGCCAUUCCUCAAAUCAUCAAUUUCAUCAUCCCCUUGGGCAAAGACCUCUGAGGCUUCCGGCAUUCAGCCUCCCAGGCCACCGGGCAUCCGACCCCCCACAUUCCGGGCAUCUCGCAUCCCAACUGGCAUCACGAGGCAUUCCCUUCGGGCAGAAACCUUCGACAGCGCUUCCGGCAUUUAUACUCCCUGGCUGGGCAUCACGUACCCCAAUCCUGGCAUCGCGAGGCAUUCCCUUCGGGCAGAAACCUCCGACAGGGCUUCCGGCACCCCCACAUUCCGGGCAUCCUGAAUCUCCCAGGGAAAUCCGGCAAUGCAUCUCUAUACAUUCCGGCCUCAUCCUCCACCACAACCACUUCCUCACUUAUCAUUAUCCACAUUUACCAUUAUUUUGAUCUCAAUUUAACAUGGCAUAUGGCGUGACAUCAAACAAGUCAUUUUUGGCAUAAGAUUCACAAAUGCAUCACUAUUCAAUGUCAUACAUAUACCAAGAAUUUAUCAUACAUGCAACAAGAUAAAUUUAAUGAAAUUUAUGGCCAAUAAAAUAAUCUAUUUUAUUUUAAUUUUCUUUUAUUUUUAUUUAUUUAUUUAUUUAAAUUCCAACUUUUGUCAUUUCCAUAAAUUUAAUAUCAACAAAUUCUCAAAAUCAUAAAAUUUCAAGCAAUUACAAACCAAUAGGAUUACAUGCAAAAUUCAUGGCCAAAUUGAAUUUCACACAAUUUCACAAUUUCCACAAAACAGCACAUAAUAUUCGGAUAAAACCAGAAUGCACAGUUUCCGAAGAAAUUCGAUUAAAAUAUCCAUAUGGCCUCCAAAAAUUACGAAAUUUUACAGAGUGAUAGCCAAGACAUUUUCGUACAAAUUUUAUGAAGAACUCCAAGCCAGAUUAUUUUUAUAUUAUUUUAUACAACCUCACGAAGCUUCUUGAUCCACUACCGCAUCGUCCAGUGUACACAUCUCCGAAAUAUUGAGAUUUCACCUACCCAUUAUCUUUCGUUUCCUAUGAAAUUUGGAUAUGUUAUACAUAAAGAUAUCCUAUACAAGUUUUAUGAAGAGAUCUAAGUCAAAUAACCAGAAUAUAGUCAUCAUUUAGGUCCUUGAAGUCUCGGGUAUCUCGAAAUACAUCACCAGAAUCACCGUCUACAAGAUCUGGUCGAUUUACUAGGCUAUACUUGUUAAUUUAACUUCAAUUUGAGUAUGUUGUAGUUUAAGAUGUCUCCUACAACUUUCAUGAAGAAAUAGAAGUGAGAUUCUCAACACAAACCAACAUGCAACCACGAAUCCCGCAAGAGGUCAGUAAAAACUCUCCAGAUCUGAGGUCUCCGUAGAAUAAGACUUUAACCCCUCAAAUAACCAUAAUUUUCCACUAAAUUUCAGUAUGUUGUAGUUCAAGAUGUUAUCUACAACUCUCAUGAAGAAAUCAAAGCCAAAAUCGGACUCUAAACACACAUGAAAGCUCAAACAACAUUCUGACUCACAAGAUCCGAGCAAGAACAGUCACACCAUUCACACACAACUCAUCCAUGCUUCGGUUUUUCUCAUCUAACACCCAAAAACUCAACAUGUAAACGACAUACAAGCAUGCAAGAGAAGCUAGAGGACUCCCACUUGCCUCUAGACUGGUCGGUCGACGGCGUAGGGCGGCGAACACGGCGGCACACGGCGGACGGACGGCGGUUCCCUCCUCCUUUCUCUCUCGGCCGCUCCUCCUCUCUCUCGAAAUCUCUCUCUCCCUCACUCCCUUGGGUGAAUGAGGUAAAACCGGCCACCUUCUCUCUCUCUUCCCUUCUUAUACCCCCCUAGAGCUCAUCAUUAGCAAUCAUGAGAUUGCCUUUCAAUUGGCCAAUGCAUGGCCUUCUCCUUUGCCACUUGUCUUAUUGAAUUUUGAAUUGGGUUUGGGCUUCUUGGGCUUGGGCCAUCCGGCCACUCUUGGCCCUCCCCCUUGCUCGACGGCAGCCCACUUGUGGGCUUCAAUGGGCCGGCCAACUUGGCCCAUUAAAGUUCCACUCUUGGGCUUAAGGCCCAAUCGAAUUUUUACCCUUUUUUUUUUGAAUUCUUCUAUAAAUGUUUUUAAAUUUCAAUUUUUCAUCUUGGCCAAAGUCUUGGGACAUCUUGUUUAUUGAAAUUUAAUUUAUAAAGUACAUGGCCAAGCAUAGAUUACUAAUUUAUCAAAUUUAAAUUUUCACAAUCAUAUGCACAAAUCAUCUAAUUAAAAGACUAAUGGAUAAAGCAUAAGCCAUGGAAAUUUUAUCACCUAAUUAAAGACUUUAACACACCUUAUGGCUUGACUUUGAAUUUUGGGAUGCCACAGUUCUAAACUCUCUUCCCUACUUCAGAAGAGUUUAUUGAUCCACAAGGCAGAUAUAGGCAUGUUCCUAAGAUACGUGCCCCAACUGAUGUGGAUGAGCAUGGAAGACAAAAAAGAACUCCUGUUGCCGAAGCUGUCUUAAAUUGGCAAUCAGAGACUCUUCUUGCACACAACAAUGCUUUCAAAGUAAUUGAUUCCAAGAUUGGAAAUGUGCAACAAGAUUUGCGAAGAUAUGAUGAAACCACCAAGAAGAUGCUUUCAGAUUUCCAAAAGAGGCUUCAUGCCUUAGAAUCUGGACAACAUCUAGGCUAUCAUCAUCUUAAAAGUCCUAGAGCAGAAAUAGAAAAGCUUAAAAGGAAAAUCUAGAUCCUUAAGGAAGGAAGGCUCAAUCCAUUUCCAACUACCCUGCGAGCAGAUCCUCUCCCUCAUCCACCACCUUAGACAUCUAUCUUUGUUGCUAUUACAGAUACACUUGUCAUACAAGAUAGGACAGAUGUGGCCGAGAUGAGAAAUUGUCUCAGGGAAUUAGACCGAUUACGAAAAGAGGCAAAAGGGAAAGAAAAGAUGCUCAAAGAAUCCUCUCUUACCAUAAGAGAGCCUGAUCAGAUGAUGUUGUCAAAUCCAUUGGAAUCCUUUCUAAGAGAUUUGGGUAAUCAGGAACCACAGCCUGAUCCUGAUCCUGUUGUUCCAUAACCUCCAUCCCAAAUUGAUCCUGUUAUUCCGACAAAUCAAAUUCUAUUUCCAACAGAAUCGGCUUUUCCAAAUAUUUUUGACACUGAAUCAGAUUUGGUAUCUCUUUCAUCCUCAUCAUCUUUUUCAAUCCCUACCAUUGAUUCAUUUCCUAUGGCACAAGUAACUUCAUCAAUUUUCAUGGCCGACCUCCCAGACCAUGAUAUGGAAUCAAAUCCUUCUAAACCAGAGGUUGUUAAGCCAAAUGGUCAUUCCCAGAGUGUGUCCACUUCAUCAAAACAGUUCUUCACUAUUGAUGACAUACCGUACGACAAAUGGCCAGAAAAACUUGAGGAAUUUCAUACUUGGCUGAAUACCCAAGCCAUUGCCAACCAGAACAAGUAUGAUGUUCUUUUCAACUUUGUCACAAGAUUCAUAGGUAGCCUUAAACUUUGGUGACAAUCUUUAGUAGAACAAGAUCAAAUUCACUUUUUGCUUUCCCCAAACUUUGGCCAUGCCAUUACUCUCCUAUACCAUUUCUUUGUAAGAAAACCUGUUGAUCUUAUAGAGCUUAAAAGAAGAGAUUUUUUUUGGAAAGAAAAUGCCGCUCUCUCCAGAAAAAACAUCUUGAUAAACAUUAUCGAGAAAUGCUUAAACUUUUUCUAUCAAAUUGGAGUUGAUGCAAAUCCGAAGCAUGUUUUAUUGACCUCCAUCCCCAAAGAAUUAUCUCAGACAGUAGAAAGAACCUUUGUGUCCAGAUAGAGAAGGAUCCAAGAUGUUCCGUUGGGAGAAAUCCAACAAGAAAUUCAUUUGCACCUUGAAGAACUAUGUAUCAAAUGCCAAAUGAUCCAGUCCUAUGUCAACGACAACAGAGAACUCGACAGAGCCUGUUCUCACCAAAACUUGAAAAUUAAAUGCUCCAAGAAGGAUUGUGACGGUUCUUGCGGAAAAUCGUCCAGAAAAAAGAAGCACUUCAAGAAGCUUUGGGUAAAUAAAUCCAGACAUGGCUCUAAAAACUUCAGAAGGAAGAAAAAUGUUGAUACUUACGCAAGAGGAAAGAUCAUUCAGGCCACAAAAAAUCAAAACGAUGCUUCAUCUGCAACCAAAAAUGACACUUUGCUAAAAACUGUCAUCAGGCAAAAAAAGGUCAGAAUCAUUUAAUACAUCAUAUAGAGAAUGAAAUUGGUAUUUCUCUUUAAAAUGAUGAUAUUGAAUCUUUAUUCUCUGCAGAUGAAAAAUCAUGGGAACAAACUCUUUGUGUCAUUCCUUGUUAUCAAACUCAUAGUAAAACUGAUUCAAAAUCAGAUCCCGAAGAUAUCUUCCACAUAUCUUUGACUCCUUCAAAGGAAAGCACUGAUAUAUUUUCAAGCCAAACUCAUUGUCCCAAUUUUCCUGUCAAAAUAUUCACUUCAAAGUUUGCCAAGUCAAUUACUGUCAUUACUUUUAUAGACACUAGAGUUGCCUCUUCCAUUUUAGAGACUAAAGUUCUUCCUGAAGAAUAUUGGACUUCCUGUGUCCGAUAUUUCAAUUCUGCUUCAGGAGGUACAUUCUCUACAAAUGUCAGAACCACUCCGAUCACCGUCCAGUUUUUUCCACAGUGUUCUAUAACCACAAGAUCUUUGGUUCAAGUCUUCCCAACAAAGAUUUAAUCAUUGGUUAGGACAUUAUGACUUAAAUUUCUCAACUUCGUAUCAUUCUAGGAAUAAGUCUUAAGUAUAAAGAUCAAUUUUAUGAAUUUGUCAACAUUCAGAGACUUUUUUCCAUCCAAAUGAGUCUAUUGGAUCUGAUCAUGCGAAAGUUGUUGGAAUCCUAUUCAGAAUCUCAUUCUGAGUUUGCUCAGAAAUGUUCCCAUCCUUUAUGGAAAAAUCCAGAAUUCUAUGUUUGUCUUCCUUUAAAAAAGAAUGAAGAUAUCAGUUCAACCAAGGCGAGUCAUAUGGAAAUGAAUCCAGAACAUCUACUUUUGGCUCAAAAGGAAUGCUCAGAACUAUUGCAACAAGGCCUUAUUGAGGUCUCACAUUCUCAAUGUGCAUGUGAAGCCUUUUACGUUAACAUGCGUGCUGAGCAAAACCGAGGAAAGAUGAGAUUGGUAAUUAAUUACCAUCCCCUUAACAUUUUCCUUUAAGAUGAUAAAUUCUCUCUACCCUCUAGAAACUCUCUUUUUGCUGGAUUAUCCAAGGCCCAAAUUUAUUCCAAAUUCGAUCUCAAAGUCGGAUUUUGGCAAUUGUGCAUUCAUCCUGAAGAUAGAUCCAAGACAGGGUUCUGUAUUCCAAACCAGUACUUUCAAUGGAAAGUUCUUCCUUUUGGUUUAAAGGUUGCACCAUCUCUUUUCCAAAAAGCGAUGUGUCGGAUAUUUCAGCCGAUUCUCUCAAGUGCUGCAAUAUACAUUGAUGAUAUUCUGCUCUACAGUCCUGAUGAGCAGUCACACUGCCAACUUCUCGAACAAUUCGCCGAAAUUAUUAAAAAGCAUGGAAUUAUACUUUCUCAAAGAAAGAUGAACAUUGCCCAAAUAGAAAUUGAAUAUCUUGGUAUGCACCUUAACAAAGGGACAUACUAUCCACGGCCACAUAUUGCUCAGGAAUUAUUAAAAUUUUUUGAAGAAAACUUAACAACAAAACAAGUUCAACAAUUUCUUAAGAUAAUUAAUUACCUUAGAGAUUUUGUUCCAAAUCUUGCAAAGUUGCUAAUUCCAUUGCAGACGAUGUUGAAAAAGAAUCCCCCACCUUGGGGAAAAUCUCAGACUACUGCAGUUGCUGAACUCAAAGAGAUUAUGCAGUCUCUUCCUCCGUUACAAAUCCCAUCAAUUGGGAAGAGAAUUCUCCAGAAUGACACUAGUGAUGAACACUGGGCCGCCAUCCUAUUCGAAGAAAUUGAUGGUAAGAGACAUUUAUGUGCCUACAAAAGUGGAAAAUUUUCUCAAGUUGAAAUACAUUAUCAUUCCACUUUCAAAGAAAUCUUGGCGGUGAAAAAUAGUAUAAAGAAGUUUGAGUUUCAUCUCAUUGAUCAUCACUUUCUAGUAGAAUUGGAUAUGACAUAUUUCCCUUAGAUGACCAAAUUCAAACAGAAGCAGAUUCCAAAUUCUCAACUGCUUUGAUGGGCCGAAUGGUUUUCAACAUAUUCUUUUGAAACUAAACACAUUGCUGGAAAGAAAAAUAUGUUUGCUGACUUUUUGUCAAUACCAAAAGCCCCAGCAAAAAUCAAUAUGUAUAUAUCACGAGGCAUGUUUUUCAUACUACUCAUCAUAAUGAGAAGUACAAAAUUGAGAAAGUUAAAGACUGGCCAAGCUGGCGAUACCCCUCGGAGAUUAUCGAACAAAUCUAGAAAGACAGUCUUACUGAAAAUUUGGAUAAACUCAUGUGGCAAUGCCAUGCAAACUUGUUCAGACUCAAUGGAUGUUCAAUUCUUUAUCCUUUUGGAUUAAAUGUAGAUUAUCCGUUCAUACAUCCUUUGAGUUGGAAAGAAGAUGAUUUUCCUGACGAACUUCGAUGAUUAUUAUGGUACUUAAUCAAUAAGUACUUAAUAGCUAUUGAAAUUCUAACUAAAAGAUUCAUUGACAAUCUCACCAGGAUAUUUGGACUCGGCAAAGGUAAGAUUGAAAAUGAAAGUGACAAAAAUCUUUUAGAUUUUCUUAACUGGUUUUAUCCUCCGACUCACCGGAAAUGGCUCUUGGAAAAAGAAUUGAGAACCACACAGCCAAACCCCGAAAUCCAUACCAUCUUGUUUUUCCGAAGACCAUGGGCUUUUCUCACUAAUAAUGGUAACAUUAUCAAAGCUCCUUAGAGUAUAUGAACCUCAUCUUAUAGACCUAUUCCACAUAGCGUUGAGGCUCGAGUUCACAAAUCCUAUCCAGGACUUGUUAGUUGCUGUGAGCAUUAGUAUCGAGAGCUCUAGAGAAUCCUAUUCUAAGAAAACAAGACCAUUCCUUCAGAUGCAUGAAAUUAUAAUGUACCCAUUGCAUGAGAUCAUUAUAACCUAGCACCAGAAGCCAAAGAAGCACUUGAAGAAUUCAGACAAGCUGCAUCAUCCGAGGAACAUGCAUAGACCUCUCAAGACCCCUAUGCUAGAUGGGGAGGUCCUCUUUCUCAAGACCUUUACAGCUAAGGACCCUUGUCCUUAUCUCAUGGCAUGGACACAUCUUUUUAUACAUAACCAUUCAAUUGGCCACAACCAAGCAUUCCUGUCAACAUUGCAAAUGAUGACAAUACAGACUGGGCUUAGGAAGAAACAUUCAGGAAGAAGCAUCCCACUAGGUUCAUGAGGAAGCAUCUGCAUCCAGAACACACCAGCUGAACCAGAUCCUCACACCAGAAGAUCUUGAAGCCCUUGAACAAAAAUAUGAUGAAUAUAUUCUUGCUACAGUCCACAGCUCGGAUGUGUCAGACUAUGACUACAAUGCUCGUGAUGGACGAGACCGUUGAUUAUUGUCCAUACAAAGUUUACUGUAGCAAGUUACCGUUCACUUUUACUGUAACAGUAGGCUAGGAAAGUUACUGUUCACUGUCACUAUUCAUACCGUGCGAAUAAUUCCCUACUGAGAUUUUCAGAAGCCUUUGAUUGUUCCCGGACGCGUGAGCCUGGUCCUUGUUUAUGUGUGACCUCUUAUUGCCUAUAAAAGGUGGGGAUGAUGUAAAGUGUUGGGUAGAGUCGCUUGAAGUAAAGUGAGUAUUUUGUGAAAUUCUCUCAUGGCUUUCUAAACUCCUUCUUCUUCUCCAGCCUGGUAGGAUUCUCUGAGAAAUGCAGCUUGGAUAGUUAGGAAUGCUACCAUCCUGAUUCUAUCUGGGUGUCUCUAAAUUUUUAACUAAAGGGUAGAGUGGUUUUUUUACUAAAAGGUUGUCCCUGAAGGGCUUGAACUGCUGUUGUUCGCCCACUGUGGGAGGCAUACUUGCAGGAAACUGACUUAGUCCUCCCUGGUUCAGUUUCUAGGUCCAUUCAAUGGUAUGCAUUACUGCUUUUGUAUGGUCAAUCUAGUAGAUAUGUGAAUUAUCAUUUAUCAAUGCUCUCAAAAAGCAUAAUUUGACAAAGUAGAGAGAAACGUGACAACAUGUAAAUUGAGAAAGUUGUCGUUUUUUUAGAGUGAGAACCAAAACAACAAUGCAAAGUAGUUAUAUAUGUGAUGGAAAUAAGGAUCCAACAAGAAUAUAAAUUUAUCUUAUUCAGCCUUUAAUCACCCAAACAAAAGCCAAAUUUGUUUUUGGUUAAGCUUUUUUAGAAUAAAAUGAUGGGAAUCCUUUUCUAUUUAGAGAACAAGCUAAGUGUGUAGCCCCUUUGCAGCCUGAAACCAUUGGGCUAAUAAGCCCAUGUCGGUCUUUCUUGUUUACUUUCCCCACAAUAUAACAAUGAUUUGCAGCAAAUAAGUUACCUACCUUUCAUGUUGGAGAAACAGUUUGAUAUUAUUGGAGAUGUAGAUUGAUAUGAUUGUGAUACCGAUUCUGAUUAUGGAGUAAUUGGUUUAGUCAAUCCGUAAUUGGUAUGGUAAAAUAGGAAAAUGAAUCUUGUAUAUUUUCCCCCGUUUUUCACCUUUCUUUCUAGCAUUAUAAAUAAAGUGAUGUACGUGUAAAAAAAUCAUAGUAAUACAAUUACAAUUCCUCCAAUACUUUGCCUCGGGUUUUGUUUUUUGAUUUGUUGUUGCAAUCCCAAUCCUACAAAACAAAUUAGCACUCUUGGUAGGAAUUCACAUUUUAUGGUACCAUGCCAAACAAAGUCCUUGGUUUCACCGAGGUAGCCAAGUCUGAGCCCAUUAACAUAUCUAGUUGAACCCACCUUCAUUAAAAAACAAAAAAGUUUAAGUUAAUGAGUUAUGAGCUAAUUAUAUCCAGGGUGGGUAGGUUCUAGACUUGGACUAUAUAUUUGACCUUAUUUCAACUGAUUUCCCUUUUUUGGACUCUGUACUCUACCUUAUUUGCACUGUACCCUAUUUUGUAAUCACCUUAUUUUUCCGGUCCUAUUCUAAGGUCAUGUGGCACCCCUCAAACGGCCCCCGAUCCGUUAGGGUCGCCACAGUUCGCUUACCUUUCACUUUCCCUAAGAACAUGUCACUCUGAUACCAUUUCAAUUGCAGCGAGUCCAUACAACUUAGGGGUUUACAUCUUUUAGAUCGGUCCUUUGCGCAAUUCAUAUAACAGAAGCAUAUCCAACAAUUCCCUUCCCUAUAAUAAAAAAACAAUGCACACCAACUAAACAUCUUAUAUAAGUUAAAGCUGAACACUUUUUAUUUACAUAAAGCAGAAGGACAUCUUUAGUCGGCACAUCGAAAUGCGAAGGUCUUCUACACUCGGCUAAACUUCAAAAGAUGACCGACAUCUUUUCCAACAAUCAUAUAUUUAAAGUCCAUCGAUCAGUGUCGGCGUCUAAAAGUUCAUCCCUUUGCUAUCCUCCUCCUCCUUGGUCAUAUCCAACCAUUUGAUCCAUCUACCGGUGGCAGUGGCAGCAGAGAUAUCUUAUCUAAUCUGAAAUGUUAUUCCCCAAACGGGGUGAGUACAACCACUCAGCAGUAAAGAUCUACCAAACUACUUUAUGCGUCAAACAGAACAAUCAAGGUAUCAUGAACAAAACACAUAUCAUUCAUGUAUUCGAGCAUAACUUACCUUGCAGCCAUGCAUAUAUCACCAUGCCAUAUGUGUAUAUAUCACCAUGCACUUAUCAUCAAGCAUUCAUGCAUAUAUCUCAAUGCCAUAUGUGCAUAUACCACAAUGCACUUAUCAUCAAGCAUUCAUGCAUAUAUCACCAUGCAGUCAUGCAUAUCUCGCCAUGCCAUCGUGCAUAUAUCACCAUGAUUUAUAUCAUCCAUGCUAUCAAGUAUACAUCACCAUGAGAUCCAUUCAUGCCUUCAGAUCGCAUUUUCAAUAUCAAAUAGCAUCAAUUUACUUUCAUAAGCAGAUCAUGCAUCAUGCCAUAUGCAUACACCCAUGCACAUGAUUCACUUUCAAUUCUUAUCUUUCACGAGGAUCUCAUCAAUUUUUCUUUCCAGGGAUCAAUGUUUGCACCCCACAAUUUAUCGCUCGCAUCCAACCUGGCAUCGCGAGGAACCUCCAGCACACACCUCCAGGCAUCCGGCACACACACUCUGGGCAUCUCGCAUCCCACCUGGCAUCAUGAGGAAUCCCCCCCGGCACACACCUCUAGGGCUUUCGGAAUUACGUACCGCCAUACCACCAGGCAUUCCCCUUGGACAUUACGUACUGUAUACUACCAGCCAUCUCGAAACUCCCGAGGACAUUCGGCACACACACUCCGGGCAUCCCGACACUCCCGGGGUAUCAUCGGCUCACACCUCCAACGGUCUUGUAAUUAUCUCAAUUUAUAUUCACACAUGUAUCUCAAUUUCAACAUGACAUUUGAUGCAACAAUAUUAAGAGUCUCAACUAAAUUUUCAUGCCAUAUAACAUGCCAUAUGUCAUCACAUAUGCAGCAAAAUCAACCACUCAAAGUAUUACAUCACAUGGACAAAUUUAUUUAUUUUUUUGAAAGUGCAGCAAUUUUCGGAUAAAAGUAGAUUGUACUCCUUUGGUCAUAAUUCUUGAAAAUUUAGUAAACAGCAUUAAUAAAUUCUAAAAAUUCGACAUGUUAUAUAAAAGAUCUAGAGGAAAAUAUUUCGGGAAGAACACCAUACCAAAAGGACUUCACACAAAACAGCACGGUCCAUGCAUCACAGUUUUCAGGACUUCAAUAUUUCGGCUUGCACAGUUUCGGAAGGAAUUUAAAUUAAAUACCUAAAUGAACUCCAAAAAUUAUGAAAUUUUAACAUGUUAUAUAAAAGUCCUAGAGGUAAAUAUCUCAUGACGACAUCAAAACACAAAUCGUUCUAGGUUAAUAGAUAUAGACGAUUCUUUCUCCCUGUUCUCGGUAUCAUCUUUUCCCAGAUUAUCAUCUUCCAAAAGAAACUAAUUUCACCGACCUAAAUAUGUUCAUUUCUUCUAAAUUUUUAGUAUGUUACUCCUCAGAAUAUUAUAUACAACUUUCAUUAAGGACACAUGAUCAAAUUUUAACGGUAUGAUUUUAUAAAAAAUCACGAAAUUAUACUAGGUCGAAGCAGCGUUUUUCCCAGAUCCAGUUUCUUCAAAAGACAACGAUUUCACCGACCUAUUCUUGUUCAUUUCCUCUAAAUUUUUUAUAUGUUCUACCUCAAGAAGUAUACUAAAACUUUCGUUAAGAGAUCAAAGUGAGAUUUUCACAAGAAGGUUACUUUACAGACCACGAAACCACUGAAGGUUAGCACAACGAAUUCCAGAUCUAGUCUCUCCAAAGAAUAAUACUAACCAUUUAUUGUUUGUUUUGCCUCAAAUGUUAUCAUGUUGUUUUUCAAGGUGUUCUCUACAACUUUCAUGAAGAAAUAGAAACAAUAUUUUGACUAAAAAGUCACAUGCAACACACAAACUCAAGGAUGGUCAAACUGGUCUUUCCAGAAACAGCAUGCAUGGCCAACGAAUGUCUCUCCAUAGCUCCGAAAUUUCAUCCCAUCUACCACAACCAAGACUUACCAUCUACUACACAUACACACAGCAAUGCAAAGGGUAGGUUUUAGGACUUCACUUGCCUCAAAUUCGAAGGAAACACAGCAAGACAAGGCGGGGUGAGGCGGCGAACGACGGCAGUAGACUCCUUCUUCCUCUUCUCCUCUCACUCGCUCGAACACUCUCUCUCGGUUUCCAUCCCUCUAGCAAUCCACCCCCCUCUCCUUCUCUCUCUUAGUCUCUUGAUUAGCUUGCCAUCAUUGGUUUUUGCAUGUAGAACACUUGGCUACAAAGGGGCAACACUUGGCAAGCUUUUCUUGCCACUUGGCAUUUUUGCCAUGCACAUGAUGGGCUUUCAUUUGGCUGGGCUUGGGCCAGCCCUUUGGUCGACCAAAUGGGGAAAGUGGUGGGCUGGUUUUUGGGCCUUAAGAAAUCAGCCCACACAUUUUCCUAAUAAUCCACCCUAAAUCUCCACUUAUAAUAACUUAAUUUCAAUUAUUCAUAUGGCCGUAAAAUUUUGCAACAUUAAUCGAUAAAAAUCCAACUUAUAAAUUACAUGGCCAAGAAUAAAAAUUUUCCCUAUCAAUUUAUCCUUUAAUACAAAUCCUUAAUCACUCAUGGGCAUAGGAUAUAUUUUCAAUCAAAUUAUUGUCCAUUAAAAUGCUCGGCCUUAAUCUAUUAAAAUUCUUUGGUCUAAAGGCUAUAACAUAAAUCAAUAACACUUCCAUCACCUUUUCAUAGGUCGUAAUGCAUCUAGAGGUUGCCAUGAAAUUUUGGGAUGCCACAGGUCAACCCUAUUUUCCAUUGAAACCUAUUUUGUAACCAUUCAAUAUCCUAUACGACUUCCAAUUGUGUAUUGAAACAUUAAGCACAUGUAAUAAAUAAAUAUAUGAAAUUUUUGACUAAAUGAGAUUAAGAAUUCACAAUGCUAAUUAUCAUAAACAAACAUCAUGAGGUAAAGAAAAAAUCCUAUGUGAAGGACAAUGCGACCAUAAGUUGGUGAUGGACGGUAUGAUCGUGAGCCGACAUAGGAGGGAAGUAAGUGAGGAAGAGGAAUGACAAAAGAUGAGUACCGUGCUAAAGGAAAAAUGCAAUUUUAAUAUUAGAAAUCAAGGGAAAGAAAGAUAGGUUUUGGACUUUUGGGCUUAUAGAACUGGUUCCAAAACUGAUCCGGUCGAUCCAGUUCCCAGGUCGGUAUUCACUUGGACUCAGUUCUCAGACUAGUUCAAAGAGGUUUUGAAUAUUGGAAACCUGUUCUCAAACUAGUUUCAAUGGGAACUAGUUCCUAAACUUGUUUGCCAGGUGGGCCAGUCCAGUUCUUGGGUAGACUUGAUCUAGUUGCACACCACUGACUGUGAUAGAUUAACUGUUCUACAUCGUUUCAAUUUUCAGUGUAGAACUUCUCUAACAUAAUUGACACAUAUAUCUUAUAAAGCUCUAUUACUAUCGACUAUCUCUUGGAUUGAUUUUCUUUUCCCACUUAUUGUCUAUAUCCUUGAACUCUAUUACAUAAAUUCAUAAGUGGGAAAAAAAUUAAGAGAAAGAUGAUCAUAUCUAAUUGAAAAAAGUCUCACAACUGGUUGAUUAAUGCUCAACCUUAUUAAGAAUGUACACAAUGAUUACAACAUUAAUGAUUAAGAAAUUCCACAUACGAUUAUUUAGAUAUCAAUCACUCCAAACUCGAAACCGUCUUCCCAACAGCAGGAAAUAACAUCACUAGAAUGUCAAUUAAUUUCUUUUCAUAUAGAUUAUUAAGUAAUUUCAUCCAUGGGUCACCGUUGGCACGCUGUGAAGCACCAUCGUCCCCACAAUGAGGCCCGGCCCAAACCCAAAGAGGACGCCCCACUCCAACCCCUCGCCGGUCGUCGUGAGCUCUUCCUCUGCCGACUUCCGCCGCAUCUCAGCGAGCAUGAACGAGACACGCACUCGAAAUGUUCCCAUACUCUCUAAGCACGUGCCUCACGGCUCGGGGCCCUCCUUUUUCAGCCCUAGCUUGGCCUUAAUUUGGUUGAGUAUGGCCGGGCCACCCGGAUGAGGCACUCAAAAGAUGGAGUUCCAGUCACCUAUGCUGAGCGAAUCGAACGCCUCCUUCAAGCUCUUCUUGAUGUUGCUUGUGAUCAAAUGUGGGAUCCUGUCAGAUAACCCGAAGGUGAGGCCAACGUCGCGCAGUUGGCCCUCGAUGGCGCCCUUGGAGUUUGGCAAGACGGUCUCCGCAGUUCACACGAGUUGGAAUAUGGACUGCUCAGCAGGGAUCUCCAGGUCGGACUUUAUGAUGAGCGCGGCCGCUCCGUCCCCAAAGAUGGCCUGGCCAACAAGGUUGGGAAGGUUCUCAGUGGACGGGCCUCAGAAGAUGGUGACAGUGAUCUCAGAGUAGACGACGAGGACGCAGGCACCGGCGUUGUUCUCAGAGUAGAGCAUGACACGCUUGACUGAGGGGCUCAGACCGAGAAGGCGCAUGAGCUGGUAGUCGGCGCUGGGCAUGUCAACGCCGGAGGUGGAGCAGAAGAUGAUGUGGGUCAUUUUGGACUUGGGUUGGCCUCAUUCCUCGAUGGCCUUCAACGCUGCCUCCUCGCCGAGCUUCGGGAUGGUGUCGAUGAUUAUGUGCUGGCGUGGAUUGAGCGAAGGGGUGUCGUACGAGCAGAUCUCGGGGUGUUUCUCCAUAAGCUCCUCGGUCAAAUGCAUGUAGCGCUUGUGGAUCAUUGACUUGUCACCUGCGACGUUCCCUUAAGUUGAUUUUACUUUCCAAGGACAACGUUGACAUGCAUGCCAUGAAAGUAAUUCCGAAUUUGCACGGCUAGCUUACAUAUACUAUACGACAAUAUUUUUUUUUUUGACCAUUCUAAGAUUGUUAAGAAUGAUUGCAAAUUCAUCACGCAAAGAAGCAAAUUGUAGUCAUGCAAUUUGUCCACAGUAAGAUUAAAAAAGAAAGAUAGUUAAGACUUUCUUAAAGGGUCUAAUAGUCGAAACACAACAUAUAUAUAUCACGAGAAAAAAUAAACUACGAAGUUACGAUAAGGAUACUCUAACACUUAAAUAUAUAUUUUGUAGCUAGGGCAAUCUAGAGCGUGACUAACAUAUGCGGAUGAACUUCUGCUUGAGGGCCGUCAUGUGCUCGCUCUUGGUCAUGCAGAAGUAGUAGUCGGGGUACUUGACCUGGUACACACAGUUUGUCGGGUUCGCCAUCCCAAUGGCGAGGAUGGUGGCUGGCCCCUUGGCCCGCUGGUUCUCACGGAUCUUCUCGAUAGCACCCAUCUAUCUCAGACCUGCGUUCGAAACUUUUUCUUGUGUAUUGCGGAUAUAAUGAAGUUCAAAGUGAAGCUGAGACUCUACAACUUGAUCCGGCUGUGAACAUUUGCAGCCCAUUGCCUUGCCUUUUAUAGAUAUGAAGUGGGCAAGCUCACGCUGGGUUUUGAGGUAAUUACGUUGAAAAAAAGAAAAGAAAAUUCUUCCACGUGUAACUAUUGGCUAUGUUGAUUUGAUGGUUGGUAUUGUAUGCUUUAAUUUUUUUAACUAAUUGAUCAGUUAGGUGAGAUUCAUUUAAACGUCAUCGGAUGAUGCGUAAUCGAAUUUUAUAAACCUCUCUUUGUGAUCCUAGAACUUCUGACUAUCACUGGAUGCACAUGUUUAUUUGGUCGGUAGGGUUUUGGUGGGACGAUGAUGACAUGGAACAGAUUGGCCAUUUUUUCACAAGAAAUUGAGUUCAAUGCUUAAGCAGGAAAGAUGAGUCGCGAGGCAUUAUUAUAAUAGCCAACAGGAAUCGCGAGAACAUUAAUAAUCUAAGCAUCGUGAAACAUCUCGAAGAAGACCGAUAGAGAUCAUUAUUGACAAUGGACUACCAAAAUCAGAAAAUUAUUAAAAAAGUCUUAAACCUAUUACACAUUUCCUAAUUCAGUUAUAAAUAUUUUCUUAUCAAUUAAAUCAUAAACCUUUUCAUAUUUAUCCAAUUGAGUCCAUCCGAUCAAUGUGACUGUAAUUCACUAAUGUAGACAUCGACUGUUUUACGUGACAUAACUGGCAUUAACAUGGAUAAUUUUUAAUAAUAUUUUAAUUUUUUUGUUAAUUUUUUAUUUCCUUUUUCCUUCUUUAUUUAUUUAUUUAUUUUUAUUGUGGCCAACGAGAGUCAUCAGGCCCUUGCUAGCCGCAAGCAAGGGUGUGUGAGAGGGAGCCCUUGAAAGCUUAUUUGUUGGGAGUAUAUGGCAAAGGCUCAACCUUCACCUAAAGUGAUCACCAAGAAAGAAGUUAAAAUUUGAACUCAUGACAUAUUGAGUUGGAUCUACUUUCAUUAUGGGUGAUUGAGUAAGGCUAGUCGAGUGGUGACCAUUUGGCUCCCUAUUCCAAAAUUUUGGAACUAGCAACCGAACUAAUAAGGACCAAUCUAAUUCCAGAAUUGAUUGAUCUAGUUCGGUUCUUGAAACAUGACUGAGCAUAGAUGUCCAUGGUUUUUUUUUUUUUUUUUACUCUAAAUGGUUUAAAAAGUAAAAAAGAUAGCAAGCCGUUUUCCUUUUAGAUGGAUGUGGGACCCCUAUUGGGAAAACUAAAAGUGAAAUAAUAUUAAGAAACAUAAAAGUCCAAGUGUGAGAUCCCACAUGGAUAUGCAAGGAUGAAGACAAGUUGCAUUUUGCUUUUUAGGGAUAAGUACAUUGAAAAUUCUAUAACUUAUCACAAAAAUACAAUUAAGUUCUAAAACUUUCAAAAGAUGCAAUCAAAUCUUAAAACUUGUUAAAUUGAUGCAAUCAAACUAACUCCAUUUAACUUGAUUUAGUCACCGCCGACCAAAGCAGUGACGGCUAGAAUUGAUUUCUAAGCUAUUGAUCAAUACCUUAAGUAUUUUCUUAGUUUGCUUUAACACGACGAUGCUAUUUAUAGAUCAAUAUAAGAUGGUCAAUGGCGACGCAAUGUAUGUUUUCUUGUGUUUUGUCUAGCGAUGAAAGUGUCACAAAUUGUCCUCAACUUUUAUCGGUAUCUCACUCAGCUCGCCUUAGUUUUUAAACAUGUAAUUUGCACCUUUGAAAUCGUACAUAUCAAUCAGAUCCCAUCAACUAAAAUACAGUGGAGAAUUGCGCUAAUCUUAAAAUACUAGCACUCGCAGCAUGUUUCGAGCAAAUCAGAGAUAUUCAAAUCGGAGAUAACGUUCUUAUGCCGAUUUAUUGUUGAUUUGUUUUCGUGAUUAUUACUCAUUGAGAAGAUUUGUGGCACCAGCAUUAUCUAUUAAAGUAUUGAAAGUGAUAAUGCCACGGGGUCGCCCCCUUUGUUUUCGUUUUGUACUUAUCAAGCAUCUUUCUUGCACAUCUAUUUCUUUCAUAACAAAAAAUCAGGUUUCUGCUACCAUACCCGCAUUCAUAAUGCAUACAAAAGUUGUCACAAGUGGGUUGCACGAAUAUAUAUAUCAAUUCAUAUAAUUACUAAGUUUGAAUUGUUAGAGAUAAUAAAGGAAAAUAUCCCUUAAUAUCUCUAACACGAAUGAUUUAAUUUGAUAGGUCCUGUAAAAUAUGAGAAAGAGAUUCCUUUUAGGUAUGCAUAUUGUUCAUAAAAAAAAAAAAAAAAAAUCUAUUGGGUCACACAAAAAUACCAAGUGUGAUCACUCUCUCUCUCUUUCUCUCACAAUCUUCUAUGCAGUCUCACAACAUCUUAGCUCACCUCUGAUCGUCAAGUCAUCGCUAGAGUUGCCACAAUGCCCUCUCUCACAAUCUUCUAUGUAGUCUCACAACAUCUUAGCUCACCUUUGAUCGUCAAGCCAUCGCUAGAGCUGCCACAAUGCCCUCCACAGUACUGCUUGCCAUGCACAAGAGAGAGAGCUAGAGCUGCACAAUGCCCUCCAGAGAGAGAGAGAGAGAGAGAGAGAGAGAGAGAGAGAGAGCCUUUGCAACGGAGGAGGAGGAGGUGGCAAAGAUGACGGCGAAGGAGAGUCGAUUGAGAACAUUAUCUAUUAGUCUAACAUUAUCCUAGCCAAAUGAAAAAGAAAAAAAGGAAAAACCUUCCACUACCAAAAAUAACAACAACAAUAACAACAACAAUAACCACACAUUCGCAACCUUGCCUUGCCUUCUUGUGUCACAUUGUGUCACCUUGCGUUGGCUUGGUUUGCCUCACAUCAUUGCCCUUGCGUAUGGCCAAUGACCUCUGCUCGCCAUUGCCAAGGUCUCAAUGACCAGUGAAAGAAAAUAGGAAAAAAUUUCAAAAAGUUUAAAGAAAUUACAAAAAUUGUUUAUGUUAGAACCGAUUAUAUCACCUAGGAUUGCUAGCGCUAAUUAGAUUGUCACAUCAUUAGUUUUUUGUCAAAUUUGCAAGAAAGACUAAAUUGACAAAUUAUCAAAAGAUUUAAAACUAAAUUAGUUAAAUUAAAAAGUUUAUGAUUAAAUUGGUCGUUGCACAAUGGGUUUAGGACUUUUAAACAAUUUUCUUAGAUAUAAAAUAGUCUCACCGUUUAUUUGUAGGAAUUGCAUAUGUUCUAUUAAUAUGUAGAUAUUUCCAUCGUAAUACCGCAAGUGCAAAUUGAUAGCUGCUAGCAUCCACUCUAUCAUCCAUCGCUAUAUCAAUGGUGGAUAAAGCCGCUUACGGAAGCAUAUAUUACAGGUUCAACAAAAUGAUUAUAAUUUAGGUCAAAUAUUGUAAGGGGCGAGCUGUGACGACCCUCGACCUUUAGGAUCCACCACGCCGUACCUAGUCCUUGCGCUUGUUUCAUUGCGGAAGCGGGUAUUGACUAUCCCAUCACAACUUAGAUCAACGCAACCAAAAUACUAACCAAACACUUUUAUUCAUUUAUGUUUUUAGACGACUCCUGUCGGUACAUAUAGGCCAAAAAGUUCCUAUUUUUGGCUAGACCAAAAUUUGUUUGACCAUCCUGUAGUCUAUUUACACAGUCGUUUUCACAUCACGUCUAUCUGCAGGAAGGUUUUGUCACCAUCAAAAAGGGGGAGAUUGUUGGAGAAAUCUCAGUGAAAGUGUUUUGAAGUUGACAAAACGUUUCCAUCAGUCUAGUCUGAAGGUCUGCAGACUCUGUUAGUUAAAGUCUGAAGACUUCCGGAUAGUCAGACUCAAGACUCAAAGUCUAUCCUCAUUGACAGUCUCUAAUCCGUUGAAGAAAGGUUAUCCAGAACUGGAUGUUUUGUUCAGGAUUUAACCUUAUCAUCUGGAGAAGAUCUCGUGGCUGGAGAAGACGUAUCAGAAUCCUUUGAUUGAUCAAGUUUGAUUCAAUGACUGAAGAUUCGAUGAUUAUCUAAAUAUUAUUGGAAUGUUCUACUUAUGGAAACCGAGAUCCUGAUUGUAUGGGCAAACAGGAUUGAUGGGCUAUCAACACGUUCCUUUAAUAGCUCGAACAAUCUUCCUAAUUGAUUCCGUCCAAACGGGUAGAUUGGAGGAAUUCCUUUGGUAAGUGCCAACGGGUAUGAUGGCAUAAAAGAGUAUAUAAGGAAGAUGUUCUUAGUUGUUCGAGAGGUGCGCGAUAGAAAAAUUCCAAAGUCUGAAGCUCCUAUUUGUUUAGAUAAAUCCUUUGAGCGAAUACUUGUAUACAAAAGAGAGUCUAUAUUUGUGAGAGACCUUGAGGAGGUGUGGUAGAACAUCUACACCGUGGAAUCAAGGCAAAGCUGUGCUGUAACUUCUCUUUUGAUCAUAGUGAAAUCCAGCCGGUGGGCUGUCAGUGCGGAAGAGUGGACGUAGGCUUGGAAUAAGCCGAACCACUAUAAAUCCUGUGUUCAAUUUUGCUCUUCCUUACUCUCUCUAUCUCGAUCGUAUUUCAAUUUGUUAAGAAUUGCUUCUGUAUUUGAGACAAAUUGUUUGUGCGCCUAUUCACCCCCCCUCUAGGUGUUUAUACUAGCAAUAUCAUCGGGUCCUCCUCCUACUCGACCCCACUCAAACCGUCGACAUAACAUCCAAGAAGUCAAGGUCCACUUGCUCCUCCUGAUCCCAGGUGAGGUUUAUGGGAGUGCCAUAAAGCAUGGUGGAAGACGCGGGUUGGAGUGGCAUGACUAUGUCUCUGAAAUAUGAUAGUCCCACGAGGGGUGAUUAUGAUUACUUAGCAUAUGGAAGCCUGUCACCAUAUUACACAAGUCUACCGCUACUCAAUCGAUGACAUUCUAAACAUGCAAUAUAGAAAGAUCCGGGCUAGGGCCUGCUAGAAUUCUUGGGCUGAGCUUGAUCCGGGCUUCAAGACUGGGCUGAAGAAGAAGGCCCAAAGAAGCUGUUGGUUCUGUGGAUCACGUGGGCUGAAGGAGAGCCCAACCGUGGGCUGACUCGCUGGGAUCCACGGUUGCUGAAGAUGCCCACGUGAUGAUGGCCCGCUGAAGUGAAGUCACGCAGGAGAGGAAACGGGCGGCCGAAAUCGUGUGGCUUCGCUGGUCUUCGAGCUGGGGAAUUCGGUAGCCUUCAGCUGGCGUCGAGCAAGGCUUCAACGGAGUGGAGUGUUGACCGAAAGAGAGAGGCGACGCGGACGAAGCGAGCAGCUUGCUGGGUCUUCGAGAUUUGCUGGAAUCAACGGCACUGAAGACGGGCAAUUGACCGAGCAAAAGACACAAGCUGAUGAAGACGCGGGCGAAGAAUGGAGCUGCUUCGGGCUUUGCUCGGUUGAAGACACGUGCGUGGAGGAGCUUCGCUCGGUGGGUUUGCUGGAUCAACAAAUCGGUGAGGAUGCUUCACUGGUUGACAGAACGUGUAGUAAUUGCUGGACAGGGGAAGAAGCAGAAAUUUCGGUGGUGUUGCAGCAUUUAUGGGGCAGAGAAAAAAGAGCAUUCGGUGGACGUCUUCUAGACAGUGGGCUUGGGUCAAUGAAAGGUUUCGUCGGUUGACUACCGAACACACACGGACGAGGAUGGUAGCGAGAGAGAGAGACGGAGGGUCGGUGGAUGGGCAGCUUCAAAUGAAGAACAACAAAAAGGAAAAAUGAAAGGAAACAAAACCAGAAGCAGAGAAGAGAGAGAUGUUCGGUUUAAGGGGGGAGGGGGUGGUCGAAAGGAAAAGAGAGAGGACCGGUGGUAAGAGAGAGAGUGAGGGAGAGGAUAGAGACGAGGGAGAGAUGGAGGCCCCUUG
rnacentral:lncRNA from 1 species